AGCGAACGCUGGCGGCAGGCUUAACACAUGCAAGUCGAACGGGCACUUCGGUGUCAGUGGCAGACGGGUGAGUAACACGUGGGCACGUACCUCUUGGUUCGGAGCAACACAGGGAAACUUGUGCUAAUACCGGAUAAGCCCUUACGGGGAAAGAUUUACUGACGAGAGAUCGGCCCGCGUCUGAUUAGCUAGUUGGUAGGGUACCGGCCUACCAAGGCGACGAUCAGUAGCUGGUCUGAGAGGAUGACCAGCCACAUUGGGACUGAGACACGGCCCAAACUCCUACGGGAGGCAGCAGUGGGGAAUAUUGGACAAUGGGGGCAACCCUGAUCCAGCCAUGCCGCGUGAGUGAUGAAGGCCCUAGGGUUGUAAAGCUCUUUUGUGCGGGAAGAUAAUGACGGUACCGCAAGAAUAAGCCCCGGCUAACUUCGUGCCAGCCGCCGCAGUAA
rnacentral:rRNA from 1 species